UUGGUCGAUUUACGAAUAGGCCUCAUUCCAUUUUAGAGCCUUGUCCUGUUGAAAUAUAUUCGACAUUGCUUUUGUAAAAUUGUGUAAGGUUUUUGGGAAUGUUUCAGUUGUUUCUGUGAACAAAUAACACCAGCUUUGGAUCGGAGAGCAACAGAUUAGCUCGCUGAAAAUUUUCUGUUUUAUCGAGGAUCAUCGCUCAACUCCCAACUACUUCCUAUUUCCGUGAAGAGAAUUUCUGACAAUAUGUGCCGCAAACUCUACCCUUGCUGCGGUGGCGGUGCUUCGCCCUGCUGUUACCCACCGCGUCUCUGCUGUGGCGGCUGUGGUCCUUGCUGCGGCUCGGGUCCAUGUUGUGGCGCUUGUGGACCCUGCUGCGGUGGCUGCGGCCCCUGCUGUGGACCGUGUGGCCCUUGUUAGAAUGCGUCUUCAGAACGAAAUUCAGGCACUGCACAGCAAAAGUGAUGAAAACCAUUUUCAUGUUCGUUUCGUUUGUAA